UACGUAGGGCGCAAGCGUUGUUCGGAAUUACUGGGCGUAAAGGGCGCGUAGGCGGCCUCCUAAGUCAGACGUGAAAUCCCCCGGCUUAACCUGGGAACUGCGUCUGAUACUGGGAGGCUAGAGUGCGGGAGAGGGAUGCGGAAUUCCAGGUGUAGCGGUGAAAUGCGUAGAUAUCUGGAGGAACACCGGUGGCGAAGGCGGCAUCCUGGACCGACACUGACGCUGAGGCGCGAAAGCUAGGGUAGCAAACGGG
rnacentral:rRNA from 1 species